AUUGAUUGGACAUGAUUUGGAAAGGCACACACCUGUCUGUAUAAGGUCCCACAGUUGACAGUGCACCUCAAGCCAUGAGGUCUAAGGAAUUGUCUGUAGACCUCCAAGACAUGGAACAGGUCUCUGUGGGUUUUUCUGUCCAUGCAUUCAGGCCAUUAAGAUGGCAGAGAAAUACGGAGAGUGUUUCCUACUCUCUCAUGUUCCAUGGACACAUUUUAUGUUGCGAACCAGCAUUCGGGAGAGGUAUAACAUAGAGGGAACCAUUUGCGAUGACUGGUGUGUGACUGCUUUCUGCGGACCAUGUGUUCAAUGCCAAAUGGUUCGUGAAGUCAAUAAGGAGAUUCCUAACUGACAGAGCCGGAAAGUGAAUGCUGACCCACAAAGUGUUGUCUACCGCACCUUGUUAUGAAAAUGUUAAUUAAAUUGUUGCAGUGAGGACCCUCAAGUUUUUGUACAACAAACUUCUUAUGGUUACAUUAGGACUGCUGUCAUCUGAAGACUAUGCCUGCAAGUCAACAAACGUUUUAUGUUCCUCUGACUAUACAGCACUAUGUGAGCACAACCCUUUAUCAAAAUCCUCAGCAGUAAGAAAAAACAAAACACAGUACCAUGUGACUGUCAGAUGUAUACAAUGUGCAAUAUAACUUACAGUAUUUUACUAUUUAUGAUAAGUCUGUUAUUACCAGAUUAUGGCUAAUUUAAAUGUAUUCAACUACCAGUUGUUUAUAUGAAAAUAAAUUUGAAAUAAGUACUACA